GCUCCACCGGCCUUCGCUCUGAUUGGAGAAGCUGUCUCUCCCAGACAGAGGGGGACCUUGAGUUACCGCAGACUGCCGAGUAAGCACGGAGCAGUCUGACUGUACACUACUGCAGACGUAAUGGGGGGCCUGGCCCCGAGCCAACAGCAAGCUAGUUAGUUAAAGACGGUGGCAGUUGGGUCAACGCAGCCGUAUAUGGGGUUCUGUCCCCGCAAGGCUGUUUGCCGUUUUUACGAGCUUCACGUAUGCAACAUUGUGCCAGUAAAAUUGAAACUUCAUCAGCGCCAGCUGGCCUCCCCACCGCUAGCUGGCUAGCGAACUAAUGGAAAUUACUUUAGUAUAACUGGGCUUCAAUCUUCCCACACUUGCCCUGAUGCCAGACUGACUAUGCAGUAGAAAUGCGGCUCUUGCAGAUAAUCAAGGUACCAGUUUAACCCACAGACUGAAAUUAACAGGCUAUGAUGGCUCCCCUGAGAAAAGACUGCAGGUCACUGUCGGUCGGACCAAAGGGGAGCAGCAACAAAACAACUCACCAGUCCUUCCCUUCACUCCUUCCUGGGAGAAACAAAACACUGUCAUCAUAAAGAACAAAUGGGAGAGAAAAAAAAGUAUUUUAAUUUCUGAUUUUUGUAAUCAUGUCUAACCUUUCUUGGGGGGAAGGGAAAGGGGGGGUAUAGAUGACAUCAUGAUGACUCUGAAGUUUCAUACCUUCUCUGUCUAUUUUUGUGAUUUAUUAACACAUUAGAUAGAUAUUCAGUAGCUUGUUAGGGACUCUAAGCCUUGAUGAUAUGUUUGUUUUCAGGAAGGAGAGGAAAAGCCGAAUGACACAAAGCAAUGUAAUAACAGUCUCCAACAGCAGAGACCUAGCCUGAUCCCAGGUCUGUUUGUGCUGUCUUCCAUGGCUUUGGUGACUGCCCAAACAGAUCUGGAACCAGGCUAGCAGAGACCCACGUCUACGUUUACGAAUUCUACAGGUGGCCCCUUGUGGGCUGAGUACAGUAACUGACAAGCAGCAGCAUGUCAUCCACUCUGCCACAGAACAAAUCACAGUUCAAACAGCAGCAUUAUCCUCCUAUUUAUGUUUUAACACUCACUCAGUUCUCUGCACUGUUCACACACUCAACUGCAGUAUGUGAUCGCUCCUUAACACAGUAUUAAGCUAGGCCUAGACCUGUAUCAUUAUCUCUACAAAACACACUCUUCAACGUCUUGGAAGGGAGUGGUUGCACCUCGAAGCGGAACCAUUCAAACGUUAGGUUCAAGAUUUUACUUUUUAACAGUCCUAAUUGCUCUGCUCUUCGGGUGAUUCACACCCUUCAGCUCUCAUUCUUCUCUCAUUCUCAAAACUCUUAAUAUUUACACACUCUACAGUAUUUACUGAGGCUAAGAGUCCCCCCUUUUUCCAUGUUAGCUAGUAAAUGCUUCCUAGUGUGUUUUUGUAUUUUAAACGUUUAUGCUUUUAAGUAGGUUUGCUUUUUAAAAUUUUUAGAAUGUUUGUUGCUAGUAUAAAACCAUGUGUAGACAGUUAUGUACGCUGUGAUGUAGCCUAUAGAAGUAGCUAUAGUAGAAAUGCAUUGUUCCCUUGUGGUAAGUGAGUGAGAUGCUGCCACGGAACUGAGACACUGAUGAUUGGUGCUAUUUUGGACUUUAAUCUGCUCCUUGGAAAGGUAGCCGAGAUGGGUUUUCUUGUUUUACUUUCACAUUCUGAGUAAAGAAGGUGUUGGUUCUUUGUUGUCAUGGUUGUUGUAACUUGGUCUGGAUUGGCUUAGUUUUUCACUGUUUUCUGUGCGGCUUUCUCAUUGGAUUUAAGAUUUGAGGAAAUAUAAACUUUUAUCAUGGUCAAUGUUUUACUAAAGGAAAAGAGGAUACAUGUGAGAAGAUUUGAGGAUAUACCAUGUUGAUGGGAGCAAUCACAAAACUGCAAUUGUUAAAAACACUAGUUACCCUUUAAUACUGACAUGUGCAUUCAAAGGUAUACAAUGUAUCUAGUAGUACCCAGCACUGGUCACUUUUAGAAAAUGUUAAGCUUAAGUGUGUUUUGAUUGACAGACAAUCUCGAAACCAAGAGUGCAGUUCUGCCCCUAGCAUGUUUGUGUGUAACGGAGAUCUAAGAGAUUUUGCACACAUACGAGUGAGUUAUGAAUUUGUCACAUGGAAACAUAGAGUUAAAUGCUAAAAGGAAUGAACACACUCGAUGUGUUUUAAGGCCCAGCCUGUUUGGGUUUGGGUUCAGGGUUUCAACUUUUCCUCAUCUCCUUCACCAGCUGGAUAUGACUUAAUCCUAUAGAGUCAUGUGUGACUUAAUGUUAGUUAACGUGAGACUGGAAUCACAUGAUGCAUAUAAUCUUGUUUUAAAAAAUUGAAUACAAUUUUCCAAAUGGUGCACAUGUAGCAAAGUUAGAAUAGAACAAUCUUUUUAAUUUAUGUAUUUUUUUUGAAUGAUUUUGUAAAUGAAUGUUGAUGAGAAGCUUACUUUGUUAUAAAACAGACAAACUAAAACCAAAAAGCUUUUUAUUGUUUUUAGCUAUAGAUUUAAAACAUCAAAGUAAUGUCAGUAUUUGCAGUUUUGUCUUUGCUUCCCUGUUAAUUUAUUUAGUUAAAGAUUCUAAUAUUAAUAUGAUAAUAACCAACUUGAAAGCCCAUGUUGUUGUUCUUUUGUCUUCCAUUCUCCCUCUAUUCUAGGGACCUUUUUGUACCAGCAUGCUCUAGUGUUAUUGAUCGCUUGCUCUCUUCCUCAUUGAGUUGAUUUGUUACACAUUUUUCCUCUUGCAGUUCUUUCCUUUCAGACUAGUUAAUAUGUAAGCUAUUUUGUACAUAGCAAAGUGAAUAGCAUAUGCAGGAUGUGCUGUAGUGUGUUGAGUCAGGUAUUCAGUAAUUACCACUGUAUAUGGUUGGAAAAAAACACGAUAUGCCAGCUUUGCAAAAUUAUUACAACGAUGCACUUAACUUACAGUAUCCCAUGUAUUUUUUUUUGGCAAUUUUAAAAGUAGUGCAAUAAAUAUGCAAGCUCGUAAA